CGUACACAACCUUCCUUUAAGUGGGGGAUAGCCCAGAGAAAUUUGGAUUAAUACCCCUUAACAUUAUGAGAUGGCAUCAUUUUAUAAUUAAAGCUACGGCGCUUAAUGAUGGGUGUGCGGCUGAUUAGGUAGUUGGAGAGGUAACGGCUCACCAAGCCAACGAUCAGUAGCUGAUGUGAGAGCAUGAUCAGCCACACGGGCACUGAGACACGGGCCCG
rnacentral:rRNA from 1 species